rnacentral:rRNA from 1 species
ACUUUGAUUUUGGCUCGGGACGAACGCUGGCGGCGCGCCUAACACAUGCAAGUCGAGCGGGAAGCUUUUUAAGGAUUCUUCGGAUGAAUUAAAAAGUGGAGAGCGCCGGACAGGUGAGUAACGCGCGAGAAACCUGCCCUAUACAGGGGGAUAGCCAUUGGAAACGAUGAUUAAUACCCCAUAUGACCACAGUAUCGCAUGAUACAGCGGUGAAAACUCCGGUGGUAUAGGAUGGUCUCGCGUCUGAUUAGCUAGUUGGUGGGGUAACGGCCUACCAAGGCGACGAUCAGUAGCCGGCCUGAGAGGGUGACCGGCCACACUGGAACUGAGACACGGUCCAGACUCCUACGGGAGGCAGCAGUGGGGAAUAUUGCACAAUGGGCGAAAGCCUGAUGCAGCGACGCCGCGUGAACGAUGAAGGCUCUCGAGUCGUAAAGUUCUGUUCUUGGGGAAGAUAACGACGGUACCCAAGGAGAAAGCACCGGCUAAAUACGUGCCAGCAGCCGCGGUA